AGAAGGGAUUUUACUUCUGAAAACAGAUGCAUCGGAAACAAUCAAACAAUACUAGUUAUAAAAGGCGCUGACUUUUGCAAUAUUUCAUCAGUUCUUCAAAAGAAAUAACAUGAACAAGUCAGCACUUCUACUUUUGCUUCUCAUCGGACUUCUCGUCCUCACUGAAACUACUAGUGCGUUUUUUUGGUCUCGUCGUCGUACUCGUCGUCGCGGUUAUAACCAACAGAAAAUGCCACAAAUGAACGAAAUUUCAGACAUGCUAUCUGAAGAGUUUUUAACCACGUCUCAACUUGCACAAGAGUAAUUACCCAAUCGUGUAUAAGCUGCAAUCGUACAAUUUGAAUAAAUUAAACACCAGCAAAACAUA